AGUGAACGCUGGCGGUAGGCCUAACACAUGCAAGUCGAACGGCAGCACAGUAAGAGCUUGCUCUUACGGGUGGCGAGUGGCGGACGGGUGAGGAAUACAUCGGAAUCUACUUUUUCGUGGGGGAUAACGUAGGGAAACUUACGCUAAUACCGCAUACGACCUACGGGUGAAAGCAGGGGAUCUUCGGACCUUGCGCGAUUGAAUGAGCCGAUGUCGGAUUAGCUAGUUGGCGGGGUACAGGCCCACCAAGGCGACGAUCCGUAGCUGGUCUGAGAGGAUGAUUAGCCACACUGGAACUGAGACACGGUCCAGACUCCUACGGGAGGCAGCAGUGGGGAAUAUUGGACAAUGGGCGCAAGCCUGAUCCAGCCAUACCGCGUGGGUGAAGAAGGCCUUCGGGUUGUAAAGCCCUUUUGUUGGGAAAGAAAAGCAGCAGGUUAAUACCCCGCUGUUCUGACGGUACCCAAAGAAUAAGCACCGGCUAACUUCGUG
rnacentral:rRNA from 1 species